rnacentral:rRNA from 1 species
UACGUAGGGUCCGAGCGUUGUCCGGAAUUAUUGGGCGUAAAGGGCUCGUAGGCGGUUUGUCGCGUCGGGAGUGAAAACACGGGGCUUAACCCCGUGCCUGCUUCCGAUACGGGCAGACUAGAGGUAUCCAGGGGAGAACGGAAUUCCUGGUGUAGCGGUGAAAUGCGCAGAUAUCAGGAGGAACACCGGUGGCGAAGGUGGUUCUCUGGGCAUUACCUGACGCUGAGGAGCGAAAGUGUGGGGAGCGAACAGG